CGUCUCUCUCAGCUUUCCCUUUUUAAAAAAUGCUUUUUUACGACAGGAAAGCGUCGACCCCCAAAUAUGAAGACGGGGUGUUUAAGGUGGCAGAAAGCGGAGCGGCUACAGCUGGAGUCCAGCUUCACAAUGGCGCCUUUUCAUCCAGACGUUUAAAGAUUUUGAACAGAGUGAAUCUAAAACUACGGCACUGGAGGAAUCCUGG